GACUAGAAGCAUCAAUAGGUAUGAGAUCUGGUGAUUAAAACUUAGUUUCGGAGCAUAAACCAGGAAAGUUUUACUUAGGUUGUUGACUUCCGGUAGUGGGAGGCAUAUAUUUUUAACAAUAAUUCCUCCUUCCCUCCAAGAAGAGAAAAACACCGUCUCUCUUGAAUUCUGUUUCUUCUCAUCUGCAUUUUCACCCACCCUAGACAAUGCCAUCCCCAUCAAAUCCUGGUUCAGUGACCCCAGCGACACAGCCCUUCUCAACCUGCUCCCAAUGCUGGAUGCCCUCAGGUUCACCGCUGAUGUUCGUUCCGUGCUGAGCCGAAACCUUCACCAACAUCGGCUCUGGUGACAGCUGCUCCCCCUCCACCUGAGUUGGGGUGGGGGGGAAAGGGA
rnacentral:lncRNA from 1 species